rnacentral:rRNA from 1 species
GACAGAGGUGGCAAGCGUUGUUCGGAUUCAUUGGGUGUAAAGGGCAGGUAGGUGGCUGGGUAAGUCUGAUGUGAAAUCCCACGGCUCAACCGUGGAACUGCAUUGGAAACUGCUCGGCUUGAGUACCGCAGAGGUAAGGGGAAUUCCCGGUGUAAGGGUGAAAUCUGUAGAUAUCGGGAGGAACACCAGUGGCGAAGGCGCCUUACUGGGCGGUUACUGACACUGAGCUGCGAAAGCUAGGGGAGCAAAC